rnacentral:tRNA from 1 species
GUUAAUUUGGCAGAAAGUAUGCGGUUGAUUUAGGAUCAGAUGAGAAGGGUGACACCCUUAUUUAACU